CCAUCCUACGGGGGGCAGCAGUGAGGAAUAUUGGUCAAUGGGCGAGAGCCUGAACCAGCCAAGUCGCGUGAGGGAAGACGGUCCUAUGGAUUGUAAACCUCUUUUGCCGGGGAGCAAAAAGCGGUACGUGUACCGCAUCGAGAGUGCCCGGAGAAAAAGCAUGGGCUAACUCCGUGCCAGCAGCCGCGGUAGUACGGAGGAUGCGAGCGUUAUCCGGAUUUAUUGGGUUUAAAGGGAGGG
rnacentral:rRNA from 1 species